rnacentral:rRNA from 1 species
UACGAAGGGGGCUAGCGUUGUUCGGAAUUACUGGGCGUAAAGCGCACGUAGGCGGAUCGAUCAGUCAGGGGUGAAAUCCCAGGGCUCAACCCUGGAACCGCCUUUGAUACUGGCGACCUUGAGGCUGGAAGAGGUUAGUGGAAUUCCCAGUGUAGAGGUGAAAUUCGUAGAUAUUGGGAAGAACACCAGUGGCGAAGGCGGCUAACUGGUCCAGAUCUGACGCUGAGGUGCGAAAGCGUGGGGAGCAAACAGG